UUCCUUUUGCUUUCUCUCCCUCAAAGGCUUCUGGCAACAAUGACAUUCGAACGUAAUUUGUUGUAUUCACGUAUGUCUGAGGCCUUAGGGGAGAGUACGUGAAAG